GAGAGAAAGAUAACUCCAAAGCUUCUACUAUUUUCAUACCUCUCAUGUGGUUCUGGAGUGUGACCCUGAGUACUUUGCUUGACAGUGCAGGCCCCCUACCUGACGGUCACUACCCAGCUUUAUGACAUCUCCGUAGAGUGAGAGGAAAACAUUCCUGUUGCAAGUCAACAUGGGCUUGAUGGUUAAAAAGUAAAAAGAAACACUUCUCUGCCUCCUUCAUAUUCUGACUAUAUUUCAUUAUUAAGAAAAUCAGGCAAGUAGCUAAUAUUUUGCUUGUAGCAGGAACAUAAAGUUGGUUGCACAUCCCAUCUUCCAGUAAGAGUUCCUUUGGCACCAGACACAAGGAUGAAAAAAUGGGCAAAACCAUAAGUACCUAAGCCUUCCAGGAAUCAGGACCUCUGUUACCCCUAAAAGUGGUUACAAGGGUACUUUAUAUGAUGUAAACACCUGCCUACCAUGCUGAUAAUGAGAGCUUAUUACACCUGGCAUCCCUCUAACAGCUGUAUGGUGACCUGUGAACUGUGACCAAAUCCAAACUGAUCACCACAAGGUGAAACGUCUCGAAUCCAAUCAGUCAUCCCAUGAGCUAUUAAGCUAACUGUACAUGGCUAACAUCUGAAGCUUGUGGUAGCUAUUUUCUUUUGAAGUAGUGAAUUUUUGAUGUUGAUGAUGUUCAAUGUGAAAAAAAGUGAAAGGUGGUAAUCAAUAAAAAGAUACCUUAUUUAAAACAUUUUAA